rnacentral:rRNA from 1 species
AAAUAGAAUACAGUGAAACUGCGAAUGGCUCAUUAAAACAGUUAUAGUUUAUUUGAUGAUUGAAGUCUACAUGGAUAACCGUGGUAAUUCUAGAGCUAAUACAUGCAUUCAGGCCCGACUCACGAAGGGCUGUAUUUAUUAGAUAUGAAGCCAAUAUUCCGCAAGGUCUAUUGUGGUGAAUCAUAGUAACUGAUCGGAUCCCCAACUGGGGAUAGAUCAUUCAAGUUUCUGCCCUAUCAGCUUUCGAUGGUAGUGUAUUGGACUACCAUGGCAGUAACGGGUAACGGAGAAUUAGGGUUCGGUUCCGGAGAGGGAGCCUGAGAAACGGCUACCACAUCUAAGGAAGGCAGCAGGCGCGUAAAUUACCCAAUGCAGAUUCUGCGAGGUAGUGACAAUACAUAACAACCUGGGGUCUCACGACUUACGGGAUUGCAAUGAGAACAAUUUAAAAACCUUAACGAGGAACAAGUGGAGGGCAAGUCUGGUGCCAGCAGCCGCGGUAAUUCCAGCUCCACUAGCGUAUAUUAAAGUUGUUGCAGUUAAAAAGCUCGUAGUUGAACUUCUGGUUGUGCGCCAGUGGUCGGUCUUCGAUCGCCCUGGGUGCAGCCAUCCGUCUGCAAACUUUUACAUCCUUAACUGGUUUGUCUAAGGGAGCAGGCAUUUUACUUUGAAAAAAUUAGAGUGUUUAAGGCAGGCACUAGCCGCUGAAUACAUUAGCAUGGAAUAAUGGAAUAGGACGCCUUGUCCAUUUGAUUGGUUAUUGGACUUGCGUAAUGAUUAAAUAGGGACAGUUGGGGGCAUUAGUAUUUAAUUGUCAGAGGUGAAAUUCUUGGAUUUAUUAAAGACUAACUUAUGCGAAAG